CAACAGUGAGUUCUGUCAUGAUAUUGAAGCUUAUCCAACACAAAGAUCCACUAACAUUGUACAAUGAUCUGACAAAAAGUCUCUUGUCUCAUGUCACAUGACAGUAAAAUUUUCAAGCAGUUGCAUAGCCAACAGGUCAAUGUGAGUGAAGCUUUUGAAAAAAAAACAAAAACCAACCACAACUACAGUUACAAAAUGCAAAGAUUUCAAGGGCAUUAUCCAUAGGUUCAUAGGAUUGUCAAAAGUGAGGUCUUCAUCCCUCAAUGUUACAUCUAAUUCAUCAUCAUCAUCUGUAUAAUCCAAGAUUCCUAUGUCGUCUUCAUCAGCAUAAAGACUAACAGAGCCAUCAGACAUGUUAUCUGAAUAAUGUAAAUCAUCCAAGUCCUCAAGUUGACUGAAAGAAGAUGACACCAGAAUUUGUUGUCUCGUCCUCGUCUGUUAAUGUGACUGGUUUGAAUCGUCGACGGUUUGCCGACAAGGUCUUUUCAACAGGUUUUCGCUGUCUGGAACUAUAGGGCGUCUCAUAUUUGGACAGUCGUGAAGCAAUGGCAGAAUCUAAGGGGGUCUGUCUGUUUGGAAAGCCAGCUCCAAUCUUUGGUUUCGGAGCCACUUUGGGACGAUUUGUUCGCGGCUUAUCACUAAGUCGCGGUGAAGAUCUUGAUUGAGAGAGUUCUCUACUUGAAACCGAUAAUCCUACAUCGUUGGAAAGAAUGAGCGCUGAUGGAAGGUUUGGUUUUUCG